rnacentral:tRNA from 1 species
GCCCCGUUCGUCUAACGGCAAGACAUCAGACUCCAAAUCUGAUGACGGGGGUUCGACUCCCUCCCGAGGGUA